UGAUCUGACGAGCACGGUAUGCAAUAGGUGACUCAAGAUGAAGAUUUAUUGCCUAAAGAUGAGCUCGCGUCUGAUUAGCUAGUUGGUGGGGUAAAGGCUUACCAAGGCGACGAUCAGUAGCUGGUCUGAGAGGAUGAUCAGCCACACUGGGACUGAGACACGGCCCAGACUCCUACGGGAGGCAGCAGUGGGGAAUUUUCCGCAAUGGGCGAAAGCCUGACGGAGCAACGCCGCGUGAGGGAGGAAGGCUCUUGGGUUGUAAACCUCUUUUAUCAAGGAAGAUAAUGACGGUACUUGAUGAAUCAGCAUCGGCUAACUCCGUGCCAGCAGCCGCGGUAAUACGGAGGAUGCAAGCGUUAUCCGGAAUAAUUGGGCGUAAAGCGUUCGUAGGUGGUUAUGUAAGUCUGCUGUUAAAGCGUGUAGCUCAACUACAUAUAGGCGGUGGAAACUACAUGACUAGAGUGCGUUCGGGGCAGAGGGAAUUCCUGGUGUAGCGGUGAAAUGCGUAGAUAUCAGGAAGAACACCGGUGGCGAAGGCGCUCUGCUAGGCCGCAACUGACACUGAGGGACGAAAGCUAGGGGAGCGAAAGGGAUUAGAUACCCCAGUAGUCCAAAAGGAU
rnacentral:rRNA from 1 species